rnacentral:rRNA from 1 species
CCUACGGGAGGCAGCAGUGGGGAAUUUUCCGCAAUGGGCGCAAGCCUGACGGAGCAAUACCGCGUGAGGGAGGAAGGCUCUUGAGUCGUAAACCUCUUUUAUCAGGGAAGAACGCAAUGACGGUACCUGAUGAAUCAGCAUCGGCUAACUCCGUGCCAGCAGCCGCGGUAAUACGGAGGAUGCAAGCGUUAUCCGGAAUUAUUGGGCGUAAAGCGUCCGCAGGUGGUUGUGAAAGUUUGCUGUCAAAGCGCGAGGCUCAACUUCGUACCGGCGGUGAAAACUUCACGACUAGAGCUAGGUAGGGGUCACGGGAAUUCCCAGUGUAGCGGUGAAAUGCGUAGAUAUUGGGAAGAACACCAGCGGCGAAAGCGCGUGACUGGGCCUGAGCUGACACUCAUGGACGAAAGCUAGGGGAGCGAAAGGGAUUAGAUACCCCUGUAGUCCUAGCCGUAAACGAUGACACUAGGUGUUGCCCGUAUCGACCCGGGCAGUGCGUCGCACGCGUAGUUAGUCCGCCGUGGGNGUACGCGCGCGAGUGUGAACGACGAAGUAAGUGUAGGCGNGUAGNGCGACGACGCGCGACGGAGGGAGG